GACGGAGGAUGCAAGCGUUAUCCGGAAUUAUUGGGCGUAAAGCGUCCGCAGGUGGCCUAUCAAGUCUGCUGUCAAAGACCGGGGCUUAACCCCAGAAAGGCAGUGGAAACUGAAAGGCUAGAGGAUGGUAGGGGCAGAGGGAAUUCCCAGUGUAGCGGUGAAAUGCGUAGAGAUUGGGAAGAACACCGGUGGCGAAAGCGCUCUGCUGGGCCUGCACUGACACUGAGGGACGAAAGCUAGGGGAGCGAAAGGG
rnacentral:rRNA from 1 species